UAUGCAGUACUGCUAACAGAACCCGAUUGACAUGCCAACCUAUCUAACUCAAUCUUUCUAGGCAUACUAUGGCAUUUUAUACAGUAAAUUAUGUAAUUACUUAUAUUUGUAGUGUAGAGGUUACUAUUUAUUGGACUAUUUCACACAAAGGUUGACUUUUUAAUAUCUAAUAGAUUUGUUAAUUCUAAGGUCAUCAAAAUACCACAUUUUGAAUUUUAUUUUUAUUGGCAUUGAUUGCCAAAUUCAAUUCCUAGCCUCAUAGGUUUUAUUUCAAAUUUUCAGAAUUUAGGGUCCACAUUUACUGUUCCAUUGGACCUUGCUACAGUGAAAAUUUGACAAAACUUUCUUCAUUAAAGUUGUUCCUUAUUGUCUCUUCUUUACUUUCCUUUUUGAAUCACUCCAUUU
rnacentral:misc_RNA from 1 species